UAGCCAAGGUGAGGACAUUUCUUGAGUAGUUUCUUUAAAUCUCUCUCCAUGACUCAUAUAAGGAUUUAUUACCAAAUUGUGAAAAGGUUGUUAUAUCAUUCCUUAAUUU